ensembl:lncRNA
AUGCCGGCAGAGAGGCAGGGUGUGAGCCGUGGUGCAGCGCAGGGCUGGCCGAAGAGGCGGGGGGACCCCGAAAGCUGGCACGGCAGGGAGGGCCUCCACUUGCACCUAACAGAGCUGCAUGGGGCAAGUCUUCCCCUCCUGCUCCAAACCUUUACUCACGUACAGCUCCCUCUCACGCUCUUUCUGCCCCGCGUGCACCUGCUCCUGCUCCUGCUCCGGGCCGACCAGGGCCCAGGCGAUGCYGUGACCCGGCACGGGAAGCUGAAGCCUGCCCCGGCGUCCGGGUUAGCUGCGGCCAGCAGUGGUUGUGCUCCCCACACAGGCUCAUCCUAUCGUUACUCGUCCCUUAAGGAGCAAAGCGAGCCCAGUUUGGGAGUAUUUCGGCUGUCGGAGAGGAGAGCCGCCCCCGUGGCGGUGGGAGUUGGCUGCGCCCCGGGGACGUGGCUGGGAGCAAGGCUUGCUGGUCUUGGGCUCCGUUUAAAGAGGUGUCAGCCGCUCAUUCAGCGUUGUUCUCCAUGGUCCCGUUCCUCCCCUGUUCUCCUAGACUUACAUUCCCUCUUCUCACCGCAGGGUUUUUUUUUCCGUCUUUUCUUUAAGUGCCUUUUUGUGCGGUUGGAGGUGGCAAGAGUAGGAGUCUCAGGAUAUGGCCCUUUGCACUCGCCUCAGACCCGGAGGAGGCUCGGGGGGAGCAGGGCGAGUUGCUGUUGCUGCUUCUCAGCUGUCAGGGCCCUGCACAGGUGGGGAUGCGACUUUGGCAGCGGCAACGUAGGGCUCAAAUCAGCUCAGAGGAAAGAAAACCAAAGAGGUAGCUGUGUGCGAAGGGCUGCUCGGGCAGCAGUGGUGCUUCCUGUGAUCUCCGCAGAGCUCAGCCGAGGGGGCGCUGGGGUGGGGGCGGCGAAGAGCAGCGCUGUCUCCUCGCAAGCAUCCUGUGUAAGUACCAUACCUAGCGGGGAAUACAGCCGUGUUCUCCGGGACCAGUUGGGACAUGCAUCUUCCUUGUGCUGA